AUAUAUACCUGGCAGGGGAGAUACUCCUAUCAUGAAAACGGUUUUUCUUGGGUGAGGCUUAUUCAUCACACUGUGGAUUUAAUGACCCCUGAGAUUUGCCCAAAUGUGGGAAACUCUACUGCAUAAUUUGUGGUAGUGCGGAAUAGAAUUGCACCCUUCCCUG